UCGAGGGGUAACAGGGAGAAGCUUGCUUUUCCGCUGACGACCGGCGCACGGGUGCGUAACGCGUAUACAAUCUGCCUUAUACUGGGGUAUAGCCUUUAGAAAUGAAGAUUAAUCCCCCAUAGUCUCUUAGAGUGGCAUCAUUUUAGGAGUAAAGGUUACGGUAUAAGAUGAGUAUGCGUUCUAUUAGUUUGUUGGUGAGGUAACGGCUCACCAAGGCUACGAUAGAUAGGGGCCCUGAGAGGGGGAUCCCCCACACUGGUACUGAGACACGGACCAGACUCCUACGGGAGGCAGCAGUGAGGAAUAUUGGACAAUGGAGGCAACUCUGAUCCAGCCAUGCCGCGUGCAGGAAGACUGCCCUAUGGGUUGUAAACUGCUUUUAUAUAGGAAGAAACCUACUUACGUGUAAGUAGCUGACGGUACUAUAAGAAUAAGGAUCGGCUAACUCCGUGCCAGCAGCCGCGGUAAUACGGAGGAUCCAAGCGUUAUCCGGAAUCAUUGGGUUUAAAGGGUCCGUAGGUGGAUAAUUAAGUCAGAGGUGAAAUCUUGCAGCUCAACUGUAAAAUUGCCUUUGAUACUGGUUAUCUUGAGUUAUUAUGAAGUAGUUAGAAUAUGUAGUGUAGCGGUGAAAUGCAUAGAUAUUACAUAGAAUACCAAUUGCGAAGGCAGAUUACUAAUAAUCAACUGACACUGAUGGACGAAAGCGUGGGUAGCGAACAGGAUUAGAU
rnacentral:rRNA from 1 species